rnacentral:lncRNA from 1 species
AAAAAAGGAACAGUACUAGAAACGCCUGAACCAUAAACAAACGAAAAAAGAAAGAAAUCAAAUGGUCAGGUGGAAUGAGGACUGCCAAGGGGCAUGGAAAGACAAAAAAAAAGAAAAAAAGAGUAGCAAGAACCUCUGAUUCUGAUACCUUCCGGGGAAGAAACGACUGCUAAUCUGGUACUUGACAACCCUUAAGGGGUCUAUGAGGUGCGUAUUGAGUCAGUAUGACUAGUCUUGUCGAAAAGAGCACGCAAUUUACCUAAGCAAAAAGUUUA